GCACUCGUAUCGCAAUGACAGAUGGGAGACCCCUGACGUCACGCUUCUUCUUCCUCUUUGUGUGCUAAAAGACGAGUCAUCACAAUGGUUCAAUCAGCUUCUUCCACGAGCGUCGGAGGCGGUAGAUCGGGCUCAAAAUCUGUUACCCCUCGUUCGUCUGGCGGUUCACAAGUGAAGCAAAGGAAAGGUGGCAGCACUACACCAGCAGCAAGAUCUCGCACAGCAGCCAGUAGCAGUGGAAUGUGGAGAUUUUACACUGAAGAUUCACCAGGACUCAAAGUGUAAGUUAAUCCUCCUUAUGGCAUAACAACGUUUUCUUA